rnacentral:rRNA from 1 species
GGUCACUGCUAUUGGGGUUCGGCUAAGCCAUGCGAGCGGAGGGCGCGGUCGCAAGAUCGUGGCCCCGCACACGGCUCAGUAACACGUAGUCAACCUACCCUUGGGACGGGGACAACGCCGGGAAACUGGCGAUAAUCCCCGAUAGGUGAGGGACGCUGGGAUGCUUCUUCGCUCAAAGCUCCGGCGCCCGAGGAUGGGACUGCGGCCUAUCAGGCUGUUGGUGGUGUGACGGACCACCAAACCUACGACGGGUACGGGCGAUGGGAGUCGGAGCCUGGAGAUGGGGACUGAGACAAGGCCCCAGGCCCUACGGGGCGCAGCAGGCGCGAAAACUCCGCAAUGCGCGCAAGCGUGACGGGGGAACCCCAAGUGCCGUUGGCUUUUGAUCGACGGCUUUUCGGAAGUCCAAUAAGCUUCCGGAAUAAGGGCUGGGCAAAGACUGGUGCCAGCCGCCGCGGUAACACCAGCAGCCCAAGUGGUGGCCGCGAUAUUGGGCCUAAAGCGCUCGUAGCCGGAUCAGCAAGUCCUUUGUGAAAUCGGGCCGCCCAACGGUUCGGCGUGCAAAGGAUACUGUUGGUCUUGAGACCGGGAGAGGUCGGAGGUACUCUUGGGAUAGCGGUGAAAUGCUGUAAUCCUGGGGGGACCACCAGUGGCGAAGGCGUCCGACCAGAACGGAUCUGACGGUGAGGGGCGAAGGCUAGGGGAGCGAACGGGAUUAGAUACCCCGGUAGUCCUAGCUGUAAAGCAUGUGGGCCAGGUGUCUAGCGCUCCUUGAGGGCGCUAUGUGCCGGAGGGAAGCCGUUAAGCCCGCCGCCUGGGAAGUACGGCCGCAAGGCUGAAACUUAAAGAAAUUGGCGGGGGAGCACCACAAGGGGUGGAACCUGCGGUUCA